GCUUGGGUCGGCAGCUCCCACCGGCCUUGGCUGGCCCCUCCACCGCACAGGAGGAGGGGAAGGAGUGUGGGCCCCCACCCCAUCUAAGAAUGUCUGGUCCCCAGGCCUCAUGCUGGGCACCGGGGACCUCGGUCGGCACUCAAGUUCCUUUCCCUGUUCUAGAGAAGGAAGACCACAUGGGCGGUGUCAACUCAGAGUGCCAGCUGUCACACGGUGAGUGCAGCAGUUUCUUCCUGACCAAAGAGCAGAGCCAUCCCCAGAUGAAUGAAUUUACCUGGAAGGAUGUUGUCAAUGCCUUGUCCCUGGCCAACAUGAUCCUGGGGCUCUUCUCCAUCUUCUGCAGCUUCUGCAAGAAAUCCUCCUGUGCCUCCUGGAUGGUUUUGGUCAGCUUUCUAUUAGACAUGGCUAUCGGGUCAGCGACCAGACACCUGAACAUCUGCUCCAGAUCCGGAACCGAGCUGAAUGACUUUGCAGUCUUCACCACCUUUGGCCUGGCCUCAGCCCUGCUUCUAGGUGUGGAUGGACCUCUGAAUGGGUUCCUGGCCAUCAUCUAUGUGUUAGCUAUUUCAUUCCGCCUCUGUUUUUAUUCAGCCGGCGUUCCUUUCACAUACAAGGGUCUGCCCUGUCCCUAUGCUUCCUGUGUUUUGGCUUCCACCUCCCUCCUGACCAAAGGCAACACGUUCAUUCUCUCUUGCAUGGCCUCACUCAUGAUUCUGUUCAUGAUGGACCAGAGCUACUACCCACAUGACGAAGUCCUGGAGUCUGAGAGCUGGAAAAAAAUGGUCUAUCUGGGAGUUGGCGGAGGCACAAUGAGGGGAGAAGACACCUGGUUUGGAGCUAAACAGACCUGAGUUCAAGUUCUAACUUCAGCACAUAUUAGUUGCCUGAAUUUGAGCCUGCUGCAGUUUUCUUCCUCUAUAAGACGAAGCUGAUAAUCCCUACCUUGCAAGAUUCUUGAGAUUAAAUGAGGUGUCAUCAUGCUGUUUUUGUGUCCAUUCUCGAUAACUGCUUUUUACUGCCUGACGUGGUCACUCUCCUACAUCUUCUUUCCAGAU